rnacentral:rRNA from 1 species
AGUGAACGCUGGCGGUAGGCCUAACACAUGCAAGUCGAACGGCAGCACAGUAAGAGCUUGCUCUUACGGGUGGCGAGUGGCGGACGGGUGAGGAAUACAUCGGAAUCUACUUUUUCGUGGGGGAUAACGUAGGGAAACUUACGCUAAUACCGCAUACGACCUACGGGUGAAAGCAGGGGAUCUUCGGACCUUGCGCGAUUGAAUGAGCCGAUGUCGGAUUAGCUGGUUGGCGGGGUAAAGGCCCACCAAGGCGACGAUCCGUAGCUGGUCUGAGAGGAUGAUCAGCCACACUGGAACUGAGACACGGUCCAGACUCCUACGGGAGGCAGCAGUGGGGAAUAUUGGACAAUGGGCGCAAGCCUGAUCCAGCCAUACCGCGUGGGUGAAGAAGGCCUUCGGGUUGUAAAGCCCUUUUGUUGGGAAAGAAAAGCAGCAGGUUAAUACCACGCUGUUCUGACGGUACCCAAAGAAUAAGCACCGGCUAACUUCGUG